rnacentral:lncRNA from 1 species
GUCUCCAGAAAAGGAUUGUGCAUUUCCUUCUUUUUUACUCACUUAGUCCGAAUCUGUACGAAGUCAAAGACUGCAUAUCACGUGCCUUCAUAUUUUGAAAGUUGACUACUGCUGAUGUAAAGUACAUCGGAUGCAAGUGCAAAAAUCUUCUCACCUUCCAAUGGUCCUUGGUCUAAUUGUCUAUUCAGCAGCUGGAAGAAACAGGCACUGGACGGUCAAUAAUGGAGAGUACCAUCGUGGAAAUGCUUGCGUCUUCAUAGCCGCCGUGCAAAUGCAACGCGUUAACAACGAAGGGAACUUCUCGUGAGCUGUUCUUGUAAGUAAGCUGCCUGCCAAUCUCAGCUUAUAUGGUUGAACUGGUCAUUUAACCAUAUAAGCUGAGAUCGUCUGAACAACCCAUCAUCCCAUCAC